GCAAGUCGAGCGGAAACGACACUAACAAUCCUUCGGGUGCGUUAAUGGGCGUCGAGCGGCGGACGGGUGAGUAAUGCCUAGGAAAUUGCCUUGAUGUGGGGGAUAACCAUUGGAAACGAUGGCUAAUACCGCAUAAUGCCUACGGGCCAAAGAGGGGGAUCUUCGGACCUCUCGCGUCAAGAUAUGCCUAGGUGGGAUUAGCUAGUUGGUGAGGUAAUGGCUCACCAAGGCGACGAUCCCUAGCUGGUCUGAGAGGAUGAUCAGCCACACUGGAACUGAGACACGGUCCAGACUCCUACGGGAGGCAGCAGUGGGGAAUAUUGCACAAUGGGCGAAAGCCUGAUGCAGCCAUGCCGCGUGUAUGAA
rnacentral:rRNA from 1 species